CAAGCUACAGGGAUGACAUUUUGGGCACCAAACAUUAACAUAUUUAGGGACCCGAGAUGGGGGAGAGGGCAAGAGACGCCAGGGGAGGAUCCCCUGGUGACAGGGAAAUAUGCAGUUUCAUAUGUAAGAGGAAUUCAGGGGGAUUCUUUUCAGGGAGGAAAGCUUAAAGGACAUCUUCAAGCUUCAGCUUGUUGCAAGCAUUUUACUGCUUAUGAUUUAGACAAUUGGAAGGGUGUGAACCGCUAUGCGUUUGAUGCUCGUGUUACCAUGCAAGAUUUAGAAGACACCUAUCAGCCACCAUUCCAAAGUUGUGUUCAACAAGGGAAAGCC
rnacentral:misc_RNA from 1 species